rnacentral:misc_RNA from 1 species
UCUCCGUUGGUGAACCAGCGGAGGGAUCAUUACUGGAAUCGCAAGCUCCAACAACCCUGUGACCCUACCGAAACUUUGCCUCGGCGGGCGCGUGGCCCCCGCUCCGGCCGCUGCGCCCGCCGGCGGCCCCCUACUCUGUCUCUUCUGCGUGGAAUCUCAGAGUACCAGAAAACAAUUCAAAACUUUCAACAACGGAUCUCUUGGCUCUG